rnacentral:rRNA from 1 species
GAUGAAUGCUAGCGGCAGGCUUAAUACAUGCAAGUCGUGGGGCAGCAUGAGUAGCAAUACUUGAUGGCGACCGGCAAACGGGUGCGGAACACGUACACAACCUUCCGAUAAGUGGGGAAUAGCCCAGAGAAAUUUGGAUUAAUACCCCGUAACAUAUAGAGUAGGCAUCUUCUUUAUAUUAUAGCUUCGGCGCUUAUUGAUGGGUGUGCGUCUGAUUAGGUAGUUGGCGGGGUAACGGCCCACCAAGCCUACGAUCAGUAGCUGAUGUGAGAGCAUGAUCAGCCACACGGGCACUGGGACACGGGCCCGACUCCUACGGGAGGCAGCAGUAAGGAAUAUUGGACAAUGGGCGAAAGCCUGAUCCAGCCAUGCCGCGUGAAGGAUUAAGGUCCUCUGGAUUGUAAACUUCUUUUAUUUGGGACGAAAAAAGGGAAUUCUUUCCCACUUGACGGUACCAAGUGAAUAAGCACCGGCUAACUCCGUGCCAGCCGCCGCGGUAA